rnacentral:rRNA from 1 species
GACGUAGGGCGCGAGCGUUGUCCGGAUUUAUUGGGCGUAAAGAGCUCGUAGGCGGCUUGUCGCGUCGACUGUGAAAUCCCGCGGCUCAACUGCGGGUCUGCAGUCGAUACGGGCAGGCUAGAGUUCGGUAGGGGGAGACUGGAAUUCCUGGUGUAGCGGUGAAAUGCGCAGAUAUCAGGAGGAACACCAAUGGCGAAGGCAGCACUCUGGGACGUGACUGGACGCUGAGGUGCGAAAGCGUGGGGGAGCAAAACAGG